AAUCAACGCUGGCGGCGUGCCUAACACAUGCAAGUCGAACGCGAAAGGGGGCUUCGGCUCCUAAGUAGAGUGGCGUCCGGGUGAGUAACACGUAGGUAAUCUGCCUUCGGGUGGGGAAUAACCAGUCGAAAGAUUGGCUAAUACCGCAUAAUGCAGCGGCACCUAAUGGUGAUUAGUUGUUAAAGCGGGGGAUCGUAAGACCUCGCGCCUGAAGAGGAGCCUGCGGCAGAUUAGCUAGUUGGUGAGGUAAUGGCUCACCAAGGCUUCGAUCUGUAGCUGGUCUGAGAGGACGGCCAGCCACACUGGCACUGACACACGGGCCAGACUCCUACGGGAGGCAGCAGUGGGAAUCUUGCGCAAUGGGCGAAAGCCUGACGCAGCGACGCCGCGUGAUGGAUGACGGCCUCGGUU
rnacentral:rRNA from 1 species